rnacentral:rRNA from 1 species
UACGUAGGGGGCAAGCGUUGUCCGGAUUUAUUGGGCGUAAAGAGCGUGUAGGCGGCCGCACAGGUCCGUUGUGAAAACUGGAGGCUUAACCUUCAGACGUCGAUGGAAACCGUGCGGCUAGAGUCCGGAAGAGGAGAGUGGAAUUCCUGGUGUAGCGGUGAAAUGCGCAGAUAUCAGGAAGAACACCCCGUGGCGAAAGCGGCUCUCUGGAACGGUACUGACGCUGAGACGCGAAAGCGUGGGGAGCGAACAGG